UACAGAGGGGGCAAGCGUUAUUCGGAAUCACUGGGCGUAAAGGGCGUGUAGGCGGUCCGCUAAGUCUGAUGUGAAAGCCCGGGGCUCACCCCCGGAAGUGCAUUGGAAACUGACGGACUCGAGUCCCGGAGAGGAGGGUGGAAUUCCUGGUGUAGCGGUGAAAUGCGUAGAUAUCAGGAGGAACACCGGUGGCGAAGGCGGCCCUCUGGACGGUGACUGACGCUGAGACGCGAAAGCGUGGGGAGCAAACAGG
rnacentral:rRNA from 1 species